UUUUAUGGAGAGUUUGAUCCUGGCUCAGGAUGAACGCUGGCGGCGUGCCUAAUACAUGCAAGUCGAGCGAACAGACGAGGAGCUUGCUCCUCUGACGUUAGCGGCGGACGGGUGAGUAACACGUGGAUAACCUACCUAUAAGACUGGGAUAACUUCGGGAAACCGGAGCUAAUACCGGAUAAUAUAUUGAACCGCAUGGUUCAAUAGUGAAAGACGGUUUUGCUGUCACUUAUAGAUGGAUCCGCGCCGCAUUAGCUAGUUGGUAAGGUAACGGCUUACCAAGGCAACGAUGCGUAGCCGACCUGAGAGGGUGAUCGGCCACACUGGAACUGAGACACGGUCCAGACUCCUACGGGAGGCAGCAGUAGGGAAUCUUCCGCAAUGGGCGAAAGCCUGACGGAGCAACGCCGCGUGAGUGAUGAAGGUCUU
rnacentral:rRNA from 1 species